rnacentral:misc_RNA from 1 species
AAUCUCAAUCCCAUCUGGUUUAUGACUGGAUGUUGGACUUGGACAUGGGCGUCUGCCGAACCUGGCUCGCCUCAAAUGACUUAGUGGGAUCGCGUGCAUCCGUGACAGACGUAAUAAGUUUCGUCUUGUCCUCUGCGCUGCGUACGCCUGCUCAGAACACCUGUUGCCAUCUCUGGCACACUUCUUUUGA